UACAGAGGUCUCAAGCGUUGUUCGGAUUCAUUGGGCGUAAAGGGUGCGUAGGUGGCGCUGUAAGUCGGAUGUGAAAUCCCGGGGCUCAACCCCGGAACUGCAUUCGAUACUGCUUUGCUUGAGUACUGGAGAGGAGACUGGAAUUUACGGUGUAGCAGUGAAAUGCGUGGAGAUCGUAAGGAAGACCAGUGGCGAAGGCGGGUCUCUGGACAGUUCCUGACACUGAGGCACGAAGGCCAGGGGAGCAAACGGG
rnacentral:rRNA from 1 species